rnacentral:misc_RNA from 1 species
UGUGGGAGCGAGCUUGCUCGCGAUGGCGGCGGUUCAUUCAAAACGGCUGUUGACUGACCGAUUGCUAUCGCGAGCAAGCUCGCUCCCACG